CUGAAACACUGGAUACAGGUUAUCAGUUCCAAUGCCAAUAGUGAUAGUGGUGUAAUGGUUCAUAGUACUGUGUGAGCUUUAUUGUGAUAGGAUCAUCAGUGUUAGUGUGCUGUUUCAGUUAACCAUCAGGAAUAAGGAAGACGAACUGAGGAGGACUCGCGUGUUCCUGCUGGGUGGAGGCACGUUGAAGCUCGCUGUGACACAUCAUAAUGUUGAUUAUAUAACAUCAUACCUGACUGCCCUCGUCCAAUCAGAGAGCAGGGUAAGAUAUAAAAGGUGACGGCCAGCACUCUGGUGCAGGAAGAAGAAGAACACAGAAGGAAUCUGUGAGCUGAACCAUGGAGUCCGUAAAUACGAACGGGAACUUCAGAAUCAACGCUUACUAUACCCGCCAGGUAAACUUGAGAUGGGGAAUCAACGCUUACUAUACCCGCCAGGUAAACUUGAGAUGGGGAAUCAACGCUUACUAUACCCGCCAGUUAUGGGUGGUUCAACACUGCUCUCAUGGUGGAAGGUAAAUCCUAUUUGCCUUGGCUGAUGGAUUGGUGAGUGAUUAACUCUCUUAAGUAACUCUCCGUGUUGUAUCAGCACUUUAUUUACCAGAACUCAGAAGAGUUGAACCCAGUUCUGGUUUAAAGUCUGGCGGCUGCCUUUUGUACUAACUAUAAAUUAUUUAAUGAUUUGAAUUUGUAAUUAAACUGAUCUGAAAUCAUUCUGAAAUGUUAAAGUUUUGUGAAGUUGAAACGUCUCUAGGUUUUGGAAAAUAAAUGUUCUUUCUUCAAUAUCAAAAUGAAAUUGCAUCAGUCUAUUCUGAGCUGGGGAUGUCCUGGCUAAUAUCUGACAUAUACCAGUCUAUGAUAAUCCAUAACAAUUUAUAAUUUAGUUCACCGUAUUUCAUUCAAAUUUGUGGUUUAUUGACCAUGAAUUCCAAAAGGAAGGGUGAAACUUGUGGCAAUGAAUUGGAAUAAGGUUGACUAAAAAGGUUAAUUUUGACCCCUGUUUCCAUCCAGGGGUCAGUGUAGACACUGUGGAGGAUUACAAGUACCUGGGAGUUCACAUGGACAAUAAACUGAACUGGACUAAGAACACUCAAGCCCUCUACAGGAAGAGCCAAAGCCAUCUCUAUUUUCUGAGGAGGCUGAGGUCCUUCAUCAUCUGCAGGACCAUGCUGAGGAUGUUCAAUGAGUCUGUGGUGGCCAGUAAUACUGUGGAAUAUGUUUACAUUUAGGAAACAGGAAAUAGAAAUGAAGCAGGCAGAUGUGUGUCUCUUUCUUCAGUGUCUUCUCAAGUUAUUUUAUUAAAAAUUUACCAACUGCAAACAGUCAUUGUCUCUUGUACUUUGGUUCUUUGUGUUCACAACAUGUUUCUUUCAUCCAUGUAUGAAGCAUGUAAAGGUUAUUAAGGCUAUUCAAUAGUAAAAUAUAUAAAUAAUAAACACCAUGUAUGCCUUUAUCAGACAUCAAAUCUCUAAAAUGUAUCUAAACUAACUUUACAUCAAUCAAAAGUAUCAAAAUUCACAAUCUCUCAUAUUACAUUCACUCAUUUCUGCCUCAAUACUUUCCUAAAAUCAGCUUAUUUGACAAUAAAAUCUGGCA
rnacentral:lncRNA from 1 species